ACCUGGUUGAUCCUGCCAGUAGUCAUAUGCUUGUCUCAAAGAUUAAGCCAUGCAUGUCUAAGUAUAAGCGACUUGUACUGUGAAACUGCGAAUGGCUCAUUAAAUCAGUUAUGGUUUCUUUGAUGGUACCUUGCUACUUGGAUACCCGUAGUAAUUCUAGAGCUAAUACAUGCAGGACUGCCCGACUUCGGAAGGGCUGUAUUUAUUAGAUAAGAAACCAUCUCGGGUCCGCCCGGUUGUGUGCUGAGUCAUAAUAACUGCUCGAAUCGCACGGCUCUACGCCGGCGAUGGUUCAUUCAAAUUUCUGCCCUAUCAGCUUUCGAUGGUAGGAUAGAGGCCUACCAUGGCGUUAACGGGUAACGGAGAAUUAGGGUUCGAUUCCGGAGAGGGAGCCUGAGAAAUGGCUACCACAUCCAAGGAAGGCAGCAGGCGCGUAAAUUGCCCGAAUCCUGACACAGGGAGGUAGUGACAAGAAAUAACAAUACAGGGCUACUUUUAGUCUUGUAAUUGGAAUGAGUACAACUUACAUCUCUUCACGAGGAUCAAUUGGAGGGCAAGUCUGGUGCCAGCAGCCGCGGUAAUUCCAGCUCCAAUAGCGUAUAUUAAAGUUGUUGCAGUUAAAAAGCUCGUAGUCGGAUUUCGGG
rnacentral:rRNA from 1 species